rnacentral:rRNA from 1 species
GACGAACGCUGGCGGCGUGCUUAACACAUGCAAGUCGAACGGAAAGGCCCUGCUUUUGUGGGGUGCUCGAGUGGCGAACGGGUGAGUAACGCGUGAGUAACCUGCCCUUGACUUUGGGAUAACUUCAGGAAACUGGGGCUAAUACCGGAUAGGAGCUCCUGCUGCAUGGUGGGGGUUGGAAAGUUUCGGCGGUUGUGGAUGGACUCGCGGCUUAUCAGCUUGUUGGUGGGGUAGUGGCUUACCAAGGCUUUGACGGGUAGCCGGCCUGAGAGGGUGACCGGCCACAUUGGGACUGAGAUACGGCCCAGACUCCUACGGGAGGCAGCAGUGGGGAAUAUUGCACAAUGGGCGGAAGCCUGAUGCAGAAACGCCGCGUGCGGGAUGACGGCCUUCGGGUUGUAAACCGCUUUCGCCUGUGACGAAGAGUGAGUGACGGUAAUGGGUAAAGAAGCACCGGCUAACUACGUG